rnacentral:antisense_RNA from 1 species
AUGGACAGGGUAGAUCUCAGACAGACAAUCCACAGUGAGGUUUCUGGCACCCGGGAUGUGCAGUCCACACACAGGAACAGGAUGUUUCCAGCAGGAGGAGGAAGCACAAGGUUACACAGGCUUCAGAGUCAGGCUGCCAGGGAUCAAAUCCCAGCACCUCCUUUUUCCUGUGAUCGGGCUUGUUCAACUUCUUUGAUAUCUCUAAACUAGGGAUAACAACAGCACCCGCUUGAGACUAUUGGGUGGAUUGACUGAACUCAUCUAUGUAAAAUGCCCAGCACAUAAUAAGCUUCAUGAGCUGUUAUAAUUAAGGUCAGUCCUUGAAAAGGCUUAGUGGAGUUUGGGCAGGUGGCUACACGGUGGGAGAGGAUCCAGCUGUGCCUGUCAGUCCCCAGCUGCCGGCCACAUGGAUGCUCCCCACUCCCCUAGCCACCUCUGCCUGUGUACACUUCUGCCACUGCCGCUGCCUCUGCUUCCCUCUCCCUGUUCCAGCCCAUCAGGCACACAUGUGGAGUUGCACUAAUGCCAUUCCGCUGCAGCUUUCUGCAUGGCCCACACCCAUCUUUUCCAGGGUGUCCACUCUCAGCCAGUCAGGAUGGUGGUUGCCCAUCCUGCAGGGGUCCAGGACCUGUAGCCUGUGUGAUAGUCACCAGCAGCAGCUAGUCUAUCAGCCACCUCAGUAGAGGCAGGUGACAACAGUGCAGGCUCUUUCAUGAUGGGAGACUUUGGAAUUAGUUACAGAUGAGUAAGAGAAACCCAUAGUGAGGGAGGGGGUCUUACCUGUUCAUUCAUCCAUUUAACCACCAUUUACAGAAUGCCCACUGUGUGCCAGUCAGUAUCCAGAAUUCCCAAAGAGGCACCUAACGAAUGGGAAUGCAUGCAGCCUGACAGUGUGGGUGGCUUGUCACUUACAGCAGCCUCCUGCCCAGGUUUCUUUAAGCCUUUCAAGGACUGACCUUAAUUAUAACAACAGCUGAUGAGUGCUUAUGUGCCAGGCAUUUUAUAUGGACGGAUUCAUUCAGUCCACCCAACAAGUUUGAGCAGGCACUGUUGUUAUCCCCAUUUCACAGAUGAGGAAGCAGACAGCAAAAAAGGCAACCAGGCAAAGUCCCUAUCGCCCAACCUACCCAGAAACCAACAGACCCCAGGGCAUUUAGAGCUGGAAAGGGCUAGAAAGCUUACCACUUUUUUUUCUUUGAAGUUGAACACUUCUUUGAACGCUUUCUCUAACAUCGAUUUAAGGAUAUCUUUGAUCUUUGUGGAAACAAAGAAGAAUGCUUUAAGACUGCGCUUAGAAAUCUGGCCGUUUGGUUUUAAGGUCAUUGGCCUCUGCCUACUGUGCUCCUGAAUGAAUAGCUCAGGACUUCCAGGGCUACCUUUGGGCCAAAAGUUAAUAAUUUACAGCUGAGCAAGUGUAGGUAAACUGCCACUUUACAGCAAGCUUCUAAUCCCUCACUGAUCACUUUGAAAAUUACAAAGGACAUUCACUUCAAGUGUGAGCCAAUUCAGAAUCAACCUCAUGCUAAUUUGAUAUAAGCUGUUCACUGAGGGAAAAAGUCCAAAGGGGGUUCUAACUUAUUUUCUAAAUGAACAUCGUAUCAAAAUUAAAAAUUCAAUGACAGCAUCUUUUAGCUCAAUCAUAGUUAAGUAUAUAAUACUGCUGAAUUUAAAGUCAGCAGAGAUUAUCUAGACUUUACUAUGAAAUAUAGAUAAGCUGCGCUUUUAAAAGGUGUAUUUAAAUUACUGAUUAUAAAAGUAAUCCAAGCCCAUUUGUGAAAAUUUGGAAAAUGUGGAAGAGUAUAAAGAAAAAAAAAACUACUCAUUCUAUGAGCACCGAGAGAUAAACGUUAUCAUGUUGGCGCACUUCCUUCUGGCCUUUUUCUCCGGAUCAGAGGAAGAGGAAGGGUGGUGUAUCUUCAUGAAACUACUAACCCAAACCCAGAACACAGCCAUCUCGCUACUAAAGUCUCAGAGAUAUUGAGCUUGGACUUCGACCAUGGGUUCUGGAGUCCAUUCAAUUCCCAGCCUUGGCCAUUCCUGGCUGUGUAAUUUCAAGGAAAUUACCUAAACACUCUGAGUUUUGAUUCUAUCGUCAAUAAAAUGAAGGAAAUGCUA